AGUGAACGCUGGCGGUAGGCCUAACACAUGCAAGUCGAACGGCAGCACAGUAAGAGCUUGCUCUUACGGGUGGCGAGUGGCGGACGGGUGAGGAAUACAUCGGAAUCUACUUUUUCGUGGGGGAUAACGUAGGGAAACUUACGCUAAUACCGCAUACGACCUACGGGUGAAAGCAGGGGAUCUUCGGACCUUGCGCGAUUGAAUGAGCCGAUGUCGGAUUAGCUAGUUGGCGGGGUAAAGGCCCACCAAGGCGACGAUCCGUAGCUGGUCUGAGAGGAUGAUUAGCCACACUGGAACUGAGACACGGUCCAGACUCCUACGGGAGGCAGCAGUGGGGAAUAUUGGACAAUGGGCGCAAGCCUGAUCCAGCCAUACCGCGUGGGUGAAGAAGGCCUUCGGGUUGUAAAGCCCUUUUGUUGGGAAAGAAAAGCAGCAGGUUAAGACCCCGCUGUUCUGACGGUACCCAAAGAAUAAGCACCGGCUAACUUCGU
rnacentral:rRNA from 1 species